AGUGUAGUAUAGUGGGUAAGGAGUUGGCCUUGCAACCUAAAGGUUGUAGGUUCGAUUCCCUCCUACACUG
rnacentral:tRNA from 1 species